GCGCAUUCAACUGCCGAAUAGCAUCCGGCGAGAUUCAGUGGUCCACAGACUUGGAGGAAGCCACCUGAUAAAGGAAGGCAUUUUUUUUCACCUGCUGGCUCUCUAACUCCUUCCCCGCUUGCCAUAAAGUGGUCGUUUAUGCAUAGCAAAAAAGAGAGGACAAACGCAUCAAAACAGAGGAUGAAAGAUGACAGGGAUUUGCAUAAGAAAUGCCCCUGCAAAUUUAUACAUAUAGAUGGAGAUUUAGAAAAAAAUACUGUCACUUAAAUACAAAUACAUCUGAAUAAUAAUAAUUUUACCCCACCCAUCCCCAGCCACUCUUGAACCAUGGCAGGGAAGACUUUAAGAGCUAUGUGCCUGCUUAAUCUGUGUCAAGGUGCUAACUAUUGAUGGGCAACUUCAAGACCCCUCCUGCUGUCCCUUCUUGUGGAAGGGGGCAUUGGGUGUUGCUCACCAGAGGCAUUUCAUCCGCCAAGCUCGGCACGCUCCCUCAGGAUUAAAACUACAAUUUUUGCCUUGGCAAGACCAGCCAAAAAUGAUAGAUGCCUACCAAUAUCUCUUGAUGAACCUGUCAUGUUCUAUUGUACAGCAAGUGGCCAUCAGAACACCUUGUGGCAGUAAACUCCAUAAGGUAAUUAAAUGUGUAAAAUAUCCACUUCCAACGGUAUGUCCUGUACCUGCUGCUAAUCAUCUUCAACAAAGGCUAAACUUUGUUCUUAACAGUCACUUUUAAAAAGGAAAAGAAAGCAAUAGCAGCCACAGGGGGCACUAUGGAUUUUUAGGAUUAUGUAUAGCAGGUAGGAAUGGGGAAGUUAACCCUUUCCUUCCUUGACACCAUCCUGACAAACAUAACUCCUCUGAAGCCGCUGUGUGCAUUGGGAGGUAAGCUCCCAUUGGCACCCAAGAAAAUUAACAAUUUUGGAGGAAUGUGCCUUUUGUUGUUGUUGUUAGAACCACAGCAGGGGAGGAAAGGAUUAUAUUGCUCCUCUUUGCCAGGUUUGAUCCUUAGUCCUACCCAACCAGUGGCUGUUGUUUGCAUGAUUUUUCUAAAAAACAGUGACAGCUCUGUUGGUUUGUAGCAGCAGAAACAGAGACUCUUGUGACUGAUUUACUAUAGUAUGCUUUACAGGACAAUCCAAGGCACAGGGAGGUGGUACAGAGUAAGCUGGUGCAAAUGAGGUGUGCGUAAACCUAUCCUGAGCCCAUUCAAAAGUCCCAGGGAGGGGGACAUGCUGGCCAGUGUUGUUAUCAGGGGUGGCUCAGAGUUUUCCUGCCCCCCCCCCGAGAGAUCUGCAUGUUGGGACCUGGGAGCAAACCACAAGGCUCUGGGAGUGUGGAGGCCUGGGGCACCCAUGUGGGGGUGCAAGGGAUAUUUGUGGCAACCACCAGCCCUCCACAUUAGGAAGAGGGUGUAGCUGAGGCUCCCCUCUCCUUCCAGAGUGACCAAUUUCUGGGAAUCAGGCUCUCCCCAAUGACUUCCAUGAUGCAAUUUCAGUUAGAGAACCCUUUAUGCUGAUUCACCUCCCACUGAGUUCCUGGCUGAGCUGAAUGGGCUUAGGCUGCAGCAUAUAUCCCUGACCCAUACCUGCCACACUCUAUUUUCAGGGGUUUCACUGGCUUGCAAUCUACUGGGCUUGGCUGCCCCAGUUGGGUCCCUACUGUGCUGGGAUGGAGGAAAGGGCAUGGGCACCUUUUUGGCUGAGCUCGGUUGGGGGACUCAGCUCAGCUGCACCAGGAGCCUUCCAGUUCAGCUGGAGAUCCACUGCAUCCUAACAUGCUCAGCCUGGCAAAUCUUGCUAUAGGACUGUCCCCUCAGUAUUUAAGGUGCAACAAGACGGUUGUGCUGUUGUUUGUAAAGUAUGUGCUAAACACAAAUGUGUGCUUGGUCCUGAAUGCCUCAAUUUCCACUGUGAUGAGAGAGAGGAGUUUUUUGUCCGUGGUAGCCAACUGUCGCAGAGAGUAGAGUGGGCUGAUGGUGUUCAGCUGACCUCCAGAUGGGCUGUUGGUGCAUUGUCCCUCCACUCCAUCUUGGGAUGCAUCAGUGACCCAAGUGACCAGGGGUCAGGUGAGCACCUCUGGCCCACAACACCAUCUAGUGGUCAGAAAGCUACUUUUGGGGGCUUAAUCCGGUCCACCGGUCAGUUUAAUCCAGCUCCUGUGGCAGUUUAUUUCCUGGGGUAAAAUCAUAAAAAGCUCAACAACUUUGGUUGGCCCUCAUGGCCCUUCACUUCAUCAAAUCUGGCCCUUUUUGAAAAAAGUUUGGACACCACUAGCUUUCCCUAAGCUAUGAAAGCCCCAACUUCUUUUAGCCAUCCCACCCAGGGAAGGUGCUCCAGUCUCAGGUUAAUUUCUGGUGUCGCUCAGCUGAAAUUGGUUACCUGCUAAACUGAGAAAAGGCUCCUGAUUCUCAACUCUCCGGCUUGUCACAUAUUUGCCUCUCAUAAGUUUCUAUAUGUUCCAGAGAUUCUUGAAACAGAUCUGCCUCUCUCAUAACUUGAUUCUGGUACAAUAUUAAUUCACUGUCUAUUUUAUUAGGAUGAAUCUGGAAAAUAACAGAAUAGUUAACAUUUAAUCUGCUCCGGAAGAUUAACUUCACAAAAGUUCUUUUUGGGUUAAUAAAGGGACACUGUAUAGUUGAAUUAGAACUUGGAUAAUAAAAUGACUGUUAUUUAAAAGAGUUCUUGCCUUGAAAAAUGACAAAGCAAUAAGUUGAUCUCAAUUAUCCUCUCUACUAUUGACAUUCACAGCGGUUUCUUGGGAGAUUUUUUUACUCUGGUAUCAAAGUACAUCUGUACUGUACUAUUCAUACUGUGUGCGCACAUGCUUAAAACAAGGCUUUCCAAUUUUAAAAACACUGAUGCAGUAAGAGGGAAAACAAGUCCCCUGCUGCCAUGCAUUAUAACAAUGUUCCAGGUUCAUAUUAUACCAGAGGUAGAAAAAAAUGCUUUUAUUAGAUUUAUGAACUAAAUAAUUUCAUCAAACAGCAUAAAUUAUAAGAGCUUUGCACUGAAUUUGUGUGCUACCUGACAACACAUUUCUCAAUUCUUCAUGAUACUGUGGCUUAAUGGUUUCUAUUUAAAUUUAGCUUUUUCACAGAACAGACUUAUUUCAAAUUGACAACAAAAUUAUUAGAGACCUAUAGAGAUCUAAUUUGAUCCACCCACCAAGAAUGACAGCUUUACAGACAACUCACAUUGCUUUUCUGGUAUUUCACAAAGGACAAAGUGAAAAGACAUAACUGUGGCUAUAAGGUAUUUGAUAUUGUCUGUACAGUACAAUAAAUGGAAACUGGGAUAGCUCAGUCAUAAAGGAUGAGGCUUUUAAUCUCAGGUUUGUGGUUCGAGCCCCACAUUGGGCCAAAAAUUUCUGCAUUGCAAGGUUGGAUCAGAUGCCCCUUGCAGCUCCUUCCAACUCUACAAUUCUAUGAUUCUAUGAAAUAUCCCACAAACUUAAUAUGGCACUAACUUAAGACCUUUAUGACACCAUGUUAAAACCUUCCUAUUUUCCCAGGCAUUUCACUGCUUGUGACAAGCUAUACUGACCCCUAUACUGUUGAUGUUUCACUGUUGCAGAUGCAGUUAUUGCAGUUGUUGAUUAGUGAUGACUAGCAUGUUUUUACUGGUGUUUUUAUUUUAUUUGUAAGUCGUGUGCAGACUAUUUUUGUAUUAGGCAACUUAUAAAUCAUAGAAUUGUAGAGUAGCACUUCAACAGAAAAUUGUGGAGAAGAUACUUUGGCUAAAUAAUUCCAAAGUGCUCUGUUGUCUGCGAACUGAGACAUCCUGGCACCUAGAAAACUGAAGUAUUUCCCAACCCUGGUAAGAGCUUAUUCCUCAUGAAGAAUCUCCCAUAUUACAGUGGUGAUCUAACUCUUCUUGGCACUGCUAGACACAGGCCCAGAUGAGCUGGAGUUCAAAGGUUAUGCUCCCAUGCCAAGUUUGUAUAUGACUAAGCCAUCGGAUAUGACUAAACUGCAGGAGGCAGUGGAAGACAGAAGUGCCUGGCGUGCUCUGGUCCAUGGGGUCACAAAGACUAAACGACUAAACAACAAUGACUAAACGACUAAACAACAACAAGCCAUCUGAUUAGCCAAGGGUGGUGAUCAUGUGAUAUUAGGUAUGCUUCGUUUUCACAAAAUAGCCUAUAACUUAUUUAGAGGUGAUGUAUGCCAUACAGGACAAAACAUAUUAUUUUCCUUAAAAUUAUUUUGUUUUUGCUACCUGCCUUUCUGCAGAAUGACUCAAAUUCAAUGAGGCUAAGCAGCUGAGAAGAUGAAGCAGUUGCAAGUCAGAUUACAAUAAGCUGCAUGAUAUGAAGGAAGUUUUUGACAACUGCUCUGUGAACAGAAAGCCAGGAGAGCAGGCCAAGCAGGCCAGGAGACACCAGGAGCAUGGCUUCUGCUGCUCCAGCUGGAAGGUCUUCUCUGCUGCAGGGCUAUUGACUGCCAAGGGCCCUGUGGGGAAGGACCCCCCCCCCCAGGUUUAGUAAUCUGGGUAUGUUUUAAUGUGCAUUGAUGUUGUUCAUGAGUCCCUUUGAGUUUUGUACCCUGAAAAGUCGACUGUAGGUCAGGGGUGGGAAGUCCCUAUGGGCAGAUCCAGAACUGGUCCAGGCUCCGCAGACCACGUGGGCAGGUGGGGUGGCCUCAACCGCCUUUCCACACCCUGACAUCACAGAAUAUCAACUCAAAGUUCAAGAAGCACCUGCAAAGGAAGAAUCAGAAGCAUGCUUUCUGGGUGCUCAGAAUUCUUCCUUUAUCUGAGGCUUGGACUUUCCUGUGCUCAGCGCCAUGUCUUUUUCACUCUAUAAGACACACCCGACCAUAAGACGCACCUAGUUUUAGAGGAGAACAAGAAAAAAAUAUUUUUUCCCUCUCUGCUCAGCGCCCCUUCAGUGAAGCAGCAGGAGAAACAGAGCCCCUUCCAUUUCUCCUGCCGCUUUGCUGAAGGGGCACUGUGCAGAGAGGGAAAGCUGCGCAGCGCCUCCCCAGCGAAAGCAACGCGAAGCCUCCUGAGCACAGCGGGAGGAGUGCUCCCGCUGCGCUUAG